GGAGAGGUGUCAGAGCGGCCGAAUGAGGCGGUCUCGAAAACCGUUAGGCGUCAUGUGCGCCUCGAGGGUUCAAAUCCCUCCCUCUCCGCCA
rnacentral:tRNA from 1 species